rnacentral:rRNA from 1 species
AUGAACGCUGGCGGCGUGCCUAAUACAUGCAAGUCGAGCGAACGGACGAGAAGCUUGCUUUUCUGAUGUUAGCGGCGGACGGGUGAGUAACACGUGGAUAACCUACCUAUAAGACUGGGAUAACUUCGGGAAACCGGAGCUAAUACCGGAUAAUAUUUUGAACCGCAUGGUUCAAAAGUGAAAGACGGUCUUGCUGUCACUUAUAGAUGGAUCCGCGCUGCAUUAGCUAGUUGGUAAGGUAACGGCUUACCAAGGCAACGAUGCAUAGCCGACCUGAGAGGGUGAUCGGCCACACUGGAACUGAGACACGGUCCAGACUCCUACGGGAGGCAGCAGUAGGGAAUCUUCCGCAAUGGGUGAAAGCCUGACGGAGCAACGCCGCGUGAGUGAUGAAGGUCUUCGGAUCGUAAAACUCUGUUAUUAGGGAAGAACAUAUGUGUAAGUAACUGUGCACAUCUUGACGGUACCUAAUCAGAAAGCCACGGCUAACUACGUG